UGGGCAUGGUCUAGACUAUACAUGCUAGCUCCUCGAAUUAAAUCCAUUAAAUCUAUUGAUCUUGACCCUUUGAUACUUCCUAAUGGUCUAGUACUACCGGCUGCUCCUUAUGGAGCUAAGUGGAGUCGUGGUAAACAUAAUUUUGCACUAACCAUGCAUAAUUGUGUAUCUUCUAUUCAGGAUAUUCUUGAUCACGAAGGAGAUGGGCAGUCUAGUCCAAAACAUUAUUGACGUUUCACAAGAUCGAGCAAAAUUGGACAUUUGAAUCAUAUGAAACUACUUUCAUAAAUGAUGAUCAAGUCCACCUAAGUCCGGAUCUUUAUAUUCACAGUGAUUCUAUUCACGCAUUUGAGACUGGUGAAGGUAGUGGCAUGCACGAAAGCAUAACUACACCUUAUGAAGGUAAUAUGGCUAAUUUUGAUUAUUCACCACUUUUGGAAUGUCACCGUGUGCAAUCUCAAGGACGUGUACUUGAUAACUCACAUAUUGAAUGUAAUAUUGUUGAAUCCUCAUGUCCUCAAAUUCAACGAGUACUUCGUAGAAGCACUCAUGAAAGUCAUCCACCAAAUUGUGGUACCGGAGGCCACAAAGGACAUUGACAUGAAUGCAAGUGUUUGUCUGUAUGUGUCUCUUGAUUUGUAUGUGCAUGUAGAUAGACUUGGAUAUUUGUUUAAUGUAGUUGGAUAUUAUAUUUUUAGUUGGAAU